GACGAACGCUGGCGGCGUGCUUAACACAUGCAAGUCGAACGGAAAGGCCCUGCUUUUGUGGGGUGCUCGAGUGGCGAACGGGUGAGUAACACGUGAGUAACCUGCCCUUGACUUUGGGAUAACUUCAGGAAACUGGGGCUAAUACCGGAUAGGAGCUCCUGCUGCAUGGUGGGGGUUGGAAAGUUUCGGCGGUUGGGGAUGGACUCGCGGCUUAUCAGCUUGUUGGUGGGGUAGUGGCUUACCAAGGCUUUGACGGGUAGCCGGCCUGAGAGGGUGACCGGCCACAUUGGGACUGAGAUACGGCCCAGACUCCUACGGGAGGCAGCAGUGGGGAAUAUUGCACAAUGGGCGGAAGCCUGAUGCAGCAACGCCGCGUGCGGGAUGACGGCCUUCGGGUUGUAAACCGCUUUCGCCUGUGACGAAGCGUGAGUGACGGUAAUGGGUAAAGAAGCACCGGCUAACUACGUGCCAGCAGCCGCGGUGAUACGUAGGGUGCGAGCGUUGUCCGGAUUUAUUGGGCGUAAAGGGCUCGUAGGUGGUUGAUCGCGUCGGAAGUGUAAUCUUGGGGCUUAACCCUGAGCGUGCUUUCGAUACGGGUUGACUUGAGGAAGGUAGGGGAGAAUGGAAUUCCUGGUGGAGCGGUGGAAUGCGCAGAUAUCAGGAGGAACACCAGUGGCGAAGGCGGUUCUCUGGGCCUUUCCUGACGCUGAGGAGCGAAAGCGUGGGGAGCGAACAGGCUUAGAUACCCUGGUAGUCCACGCUGUAAACGGUGGGUACUAGGUGUGGGGUCCAUUCCACGGGUUCCGUGCCGUAGCUAACGCUUUAAGUACCCCGCCUGGGGAGUACGGCCGCAAGGCUAAAACUCAAAGGAAUUGACGGGGCCCCGCACAAGCGGCGGAGCAUGCGGAUUAAUUCGAUGCAACGCGUAGAACCUUACCUGGGUUUGACAUGGAUCGGGAGCGCUCAGAGAUGGGUGUGCCUCUUUUGGGGUCGGUUCACAGGUGGUGCAUGGCUGUCGUCAGCUCGUGUCGUGAGAUGUUGGGUUAAGUCCCGCAACGAGCGCAACCCUUGUUCACUGUUGCCAGCACGUUAUGGUGGGGACUCAGUGGAGACCGCCGGGGUCAACUCGGAGGAAGGUGGGGAUGACGUCAAGUCAUCAUGCCCCUCAUGUCCAGGGCUUCACGCAUGCUACAAUGGCUGGUACAGAGAGUGGCGAGCCUGUGAGGGUGAGCGAAUCUCGGAAAGCCGGUCUCAGUUCGGAUUGGGGUCUGCAACUCGACCUCAUGAAGUCGGAGUCGCUAGUAAUCGCAGAUCAGCAACGCUGCGGUGAAUACGUUCCCGGGGCU
rnacentral:rRNA from 1 species